AGUUGGUGGGGUAAAGGCCUACCAAGGCAACGAUGAGUAGCUGGUCUGAGAGGAUGAUCAGCCACACUGGGACUGGAACACGGCCCAGACUCCUACGGGAGGCAGCAGUGGGGAAUAUUGCGCAAUGGGCGAAAGCCUGACGCAGCAACGCCGUGUGAGGGAUGAAGGUUUUCGGAUCGUAAACCUCUGUCAGAAGGGAAGAACGUGCAAUGGUCUAAUAGGCCGUUGUAUUGACGGUACCUUCAAAGGAAGCACCGGCUAACUCCGUGCCAGCAGCCGCGGUAAUACGGAGGGUGCAAGCGUUAUUCGGAAUUACUGGGCGUAAAGCGCGCGUAGGCGGCCUUGUAAGUCAGGUGUGAAAUCCCACGGCUCAACCGUGGAACUGCACUUGAAACUGCGGGGCUUGAAUCCUGGAGAGGGUGGCGGAAUUCCUGGUGUAGGAGUGAAAUCCGUAGAUAUCAGGAGGAACACCGGUGGCGAAGGCGGCCACCUGGACAGGUAUUGACGCUGAGGUGCGAAAGUGCGGGGAGCAAACAGGAUUAGAUACCCUGGUAGUCCGCACUGUAAACGAUGGAUACUAGGUGUCGGGGACUU
rnacentral:rRNA from 1 species